rnacentral:rRNA from 1 species
AUUGAACGCUGGCGGCAGGCCUAACACAUGCAAGUCGAGCGGAUGAAUGGAGCUUGCUCCUGGAUUCAGCGGCGGACGGGUGAGUAAUGCCUAGGAAUCUGCCUGGUCGUGGGGGAUAACGUCCGGAAACGGGCGCUAAUACCGCAUACGUCCUGAGGGAGAAAGUGGGGGCUCUUCGGACCUCACGCUAUCAGAUGAGCCUAGGGCGGAUUAGCUAGUUGGUGGGGUAAAGGCCUACCAAGGCGACGAUCCGUAACUGGUCUGAGAGGAUGAUCAGGCACACCAGAACUGAGACGCGGUCCAGACUCCUCCGCGACGCAGCAGUGGGGAAUAUUGGACAAUGGGCGAAAGCCUGAUCCAGCCAUGCCGCGUGUGUGAAGAAGGUCCUCGGAUUGUAAAGCUCUUCAGGUUGGGAGGAAGGGCAGUAAGUUAAUACCGUGCUGUUUUGACGUUACCAACAGAAUAAGCACCGGCUAACUUCGUG